rnacentral:rRNA from 1 species
GAUGAACGCUGGCGGCGUGCCUAAUACAUGCAAGUCGAGCGAACAGACGAGGAGCUUGCUCCUCUGACGUUAGCGGCGGACGGGUGAGUAACACGUGGAUAACCUACCUAUAAGACUGGGAUAACUUCGGGAAACCGGAGCUAAUACCGGAUAAUAUAUUGAACCGCAUGGUUCAAUAGUGAAAGACGGUUUUGCUGUCACUUAUAGAGGGAUCCGCGCCGCAUUAGCUAGUUGGUAAGGUAACGGCUUACCAAGGCAACGAUGCGUAGCCGACCUGAGAGGGUGAUCGGCCACACUGGAACUGAGACACGGUCCAGACUCCUACGGGAGGCAGCAGUAGGGAAUCUUCCGCAAUGGGCGAAAGCUUGACGGAGCAACGCCGCGUGAGUGAUGAAGGUCUUCGGAUCGUAAAACUCUGUUAUUAGGGAAGAACAAAUGUGUAAGUAACUAUGCACGUCUUGACGGUACCUAAUCAGAAAGCCACGGCUAACUACGUG